rnacentral:tRNA from 1 species
GCCUUCCUAGUUCAGUUGGUUAGAACGUCUGUCUCAUAAUCAGGAGGUCGUGAGUUCGAUCCUCACGGAGGGCA